rnacentral:tRNA from 1 species
GCCUGGGUGGCUCGGUCGGUUGAGCGUCUGACUUAGGCUCAGGACAUCAUCUCACGGUCCGUGAGUUCGAGCCCCACGUCGGGCU